rnacentral:lncRNA from 1 species
AUGGGUAUCAUGACACCACAAGAGAAACAUCCUCACUGGGAGUCAAAGCACAGGUUAUGGACAAGAAGGCCAGGUCUGAAUGAAACAGAUGUCAUCCUUCCAGACAAAACAAGAACCCGCACACUGUCCUUUGCACCUCUGAGGUGGAUGCUUCUAAUAUGGAAGGAACAUCAUGCAGUCCACAAGAACAACAGCUCUGUCCAUUGGCAAAAUGGAUUUGCAGCCCUCAGGAGACGAGGCCACAGGGUGAGACAGUGAGAGGCUGGAGAAACCUCCAGUGCCUGAGGCUGUUUGGAAAAGUGACAGAGGCUUGGUGGGACACACCCAGGAGAUCCCCAUAGGUCUUUCCUUCCUGAUCCUGUACUCAAAUCCUGGAUAAACAACAGUUGCACUUUCACAUCUGGUAACCAGGAAUUGCUGCAGCUGGAGGUGGC